CUUGUUGGAUACUUGGGUUGUUUCCACUUUCUCCCUCUUAACAAUCUCCCUAUUGACAUUUUUAGGUACAGGAGUGACUUUCGAAAUGUCUAACAACUGUGAUGGUCUGGUCUUGGACACCAACCAGCUGGAAUGGGCAGAGGUAAGAAAUGGCUGGUUUGUCCACACCAUGUGUCCCCCACUGUGUGUACAUAUAUCUUUUCACAUGUCCUGCGAUUGCCCCUGGAUAGGUUUCAAGAAAUGGAAUUUCUCCAUGGACCAAAGGAUAAGGGAACAUUUUAAGACUUUUGCACCUACUUCUACAAGGCUCCAACCUCAUUCCCACUGCUGCGUGAGUGUUCCUUGUUCCUGUGUGGUGCUUCCAAGGGAGAGGAGGCCAGGAAGCCUGGACUGACCUGACUCAGGAGGAAAGGAAACCAGAUGUGCACAGUAGGAAUUUGCCCACUCGGGGGUCAUAGUGUCUCAUGUUCCUCCAUAAGGAUCUCUCCCUACCAUGUCUUCUAAGGUCCUUCCUAUUCUAGCCCCUAUUCCCCUCAGACCCCUUCUUCUACCACCCUUCCCUCAUUACCCCACACCAGCAUUCUCUCAGUGUUUUGAACACAUCAAGUUCCCAGCCCCAGGGCCUUUGCACUUGCUGUUUCUCUGAUAUGAACUGCUUUUCUGGAUCUUUGCAGGGUUCAUUUCCUUGCUUUAUUCAGGCUUAAGCUUUAAUGUCACUUCCUCAGAAAGGCCUUCCCUGGUCACUCUAUCUGAAAUGGCAGGCUGUCCCUGCAUACCAUGCUAUCUCUCAUUCUGUUUGUUCACCCACUUGUUUUCUUCAUAGAACUUGUCCUUAAAAUUAUUUCAUACAUUCCUUUACUACUUGCUUGUUGCAUGUCAUCUCACAAAUAAAAUACAACCCCCAUGAGUAGAGACUUUGCUUCAUUUGCUGCUGUACCCCAGCCUCUAGAACAGUGCCUGGCUCAUAGCAGAUGCUGAAAAACAUUGAUAUCCCCUUUCAUAAGAGCAAGUCCCUUUCAUUCAUUUCUAGUGUGGUCACUUCACAGCAGUGUGAUCUUGGGUAA
rnacentral:lncRNA from 1 species